CAUCAAGGAAAUAAAGUAAAAUAUUUUCCCCCCAAAAUUCUACCUGAUAUCAUACCAAAAUAAGGGUAUUUUAGGAAUUUUCAAAUUUUAGGGUUUUUUCAAAUCUGCUCUAAUCGCACCAGGUUGUUCGUGUUGUGUCCUCGCGCACAGCCUUUGGCUUCCGCUGCUCCCCGCUCUGGUUCACGCAACCCGACUCGACCCUCUGGUCCGAUUGCACACACCCGGCUCCUCUGGUUCGCGCUGCCCCUCUGGUCUCUUUGUGCAUGGUGUCUGGUUCCGUUGCACACACCCGGCGCGUUUUUUUGUUCCGUCGCACACAUCCAACAUCUUUGGUUCUGUCGCGCACACCCGACACGAUUUCUUGGCUUAGUCGCACAAACCCGGCACUCUGGUUCACGUUGCUCCUCCAAAUCUUUCGCGCACGGUGUCCGGUUCCAUCACGCACAUCCUGAACUUUUUGGUUCACGCAUGACUACUGCUUUGCCCUGAGUUUCCAGCAAUGACACCUUUGUUCUUCCAGCUUCAAGCUUCUAAUUCAGCCUCUGUUUCUCUCUGGAUUUCUUGUUGCCAUCUGCUACUCCGUCCCAGCAGCCACUUCAGUACUUGUUUCCAGUAAUCUUCUCUAGUCUUGCAGCAAUUUUAGGCUUUGGUGGUGUUUAGGAGGUUUGUUCUCUCUCUGUGAUAUUCGAUAUUCAGUAUUAUUCUCGUGUUUCUAGUACUUAAACAUGACAGAAGCAAAGAAACUAAUUGUCCCUAAUUUUGACAACCCAUAAUUGCAAAUAAGUCCUAUAAAGCUUGAUGAAACUAAUUACCUUACUUGUUCAAGAUCUUAUUUACUAUUUAUCAAAGCCAGAAAAUUGCAAAGUUAUAUUACCAGUGAUGAGAAGAAAUCAGAUGUCAGUAGUUUGGAAUAUCAUAGAUGGGACUUCGAGAACUCCUUGGUAAUAUCUUGAUUCAUCAAUUCCAUGCAACCUCACAUUACCCAAACAUACAUGUUACUCGAUAUUGCAGCAAAAAUAUGGAAUGCAACAUCUCUUACACAUUCACAAAUGGGUAAUAAUGCUCAAAUUUAUGAAUUCCGAAAUAAGAUCCACAGCACAAAAUAAGGAGAGUUGACUAUCUCUCAGUAUUUUUCUGAACUUAGUGGACUAUGGUAGGAAUUCGAUUACCAUCAAGAUUUUCAGGCAGAUUGUCCCAGGGAUGCUGUCAAAUUUCAGAAAAUAAUAGAAAAUGAGCAGAUUUAUGAUUUCUUGGCUGGUCUAAAUGUCGAAUAUGAUCAGAUACCGGUUCAGGUACUUGGUUAAUUGCUCAGUCUGAUCACUCCAAAAACCAACAGAAUUGUGAUUAUUAUGGCAAACUGAGACAUACUAAGGAGACUUGUUGGAAAUUGCAUGGACGACCCACCAACAGUCGUAGGGGAAGGAAAGAUAGACCUAUGAGAGCUCAAACAAACUUGGUUAAGGCAAGUGAAACAGCUGACACACCAACAGUUGGAACUUUUUCAACUGAAGAUAUUCAAAGCUUGAAGCAUAUUCUGUUUCAACUCAACUCUUCAACGACUAUAGGUGCAUCAAAUAUGGAUCUUCGAACGGGGAAGAUGAUUGACACUGGUAGAUUGUAGGAUAACUUAUAUGUCUUGAAAAGAAGUCAGAAUCUAAUUGCGAAUCAAGCUACUAUUGAGAAUAAGGAAGACAAUCUUGAAAUACUACAAUGGCACCUGCGAUUGGCCCACCCUUUCUUUUUGGCUUUAGAAAAACUUUAUCCUACUUUAUUUAGGAAAAUUUCUUUGGAUGCUUUAUGUUGUGAUGCAUGUGAAUUUGCUAAACAUAAAAGAAGUUCUUAUCAUUUGAGUAAUAGCAGAAGUUCUAUUCUUUUUAUGACUAUUCACUCUGAUGUGUGGAGACCGACUCAGAAUACCUCUCUAUUUGGUCAUCAAUGCUUUAUUUUUUUUAUUGACUGUUGUACUCGAUUAACAUAGAUUUAC